CGCGCGCCAACCUAUAAAAUGCCGACGUUCUCCGCUUCGCGACAUGCGUCAUCUUGUCUGGCUUGCCGCAUGCGCUUGGCGUUUCGUGCACGACCUUCAUUGGUGUUUGGCGCCCGCCGUUGACG
rnacentral:lncRNA from 1 species